rnacentral:rRNA from 1 species
UACGGGGGGGGCAAGCGUUGUUCGGAAUUACUGGGCGUAAAGGGCGUGUAGGCGGCCAACUAAGUCCGACGUGAAAUCCCCAGGCUUAACCUGGGAACUGCGUCGGAUACUGGAUGGCUUGAAUCCGGGAGAGGGAUGCAGAAUUCCAGGUGUAGCGGUGAAAUGCGUAGAUAUCUGGAGGAACACCGGUGGCGAAGGCGGCGUCCUGGACCAAUACUGACACUGAAACGCGAAAGCCAGGGGAGCAAACGGG